UAUUUAUAGCGGAGAUUAUAGACUUCGGACAUGGAAAUGACUCAUUGAACGGCUCUUAGUGGUUGUCGACAUUAAUGUGAAUAAAGUCGCUAUCCGUUACGGGAAGAUAGAGAACAAUUGAUCGCCAUCAUCGCCGCCGAAAUCGAACUCGAACUCAGAGCAACGAAGGAUGAAUCUAGGGUUAGCGCCGUAUGUCGUCGUGUUCCCAGGGCCUUGAACAGAGGACGUACCAAAGCCCACUUUUGUUCAACGGGCCAAAAACGAAAAUAAACCAGUACGGUGACUAAAUAAAUGACGUGCUGCGUUUUGUAGAGCGGAACAAGUGUCGGCACGACGUCGACCGAAUUAAUGACGUGACAUCCGACGUAGAUCCCUUGGGAGAGAAAGAAUCUGUACUGACUCUCAAAGCCCUCUAAAACGUAAAAACUAAAAAUGACAAAAUUGCUCAAAUCUACUAAUUAUAGGGCUGUUGUGGUUAGUUUUAGUUUCGGACUAGAUGCCCAUUAGUUCGCAUCCCUCUAGUCCACUAAAUGGUUUCACGCAAUAACAUGGGCUUUGGAGUCCAUAACACCCAUGAACCCAACUCAUUGGACUACUAAAACUACUAUCUUCAACUUAUUAUUGUUUUUGUUUUUAGGGUCGUAGUCAAAAGUCAGAACUCGUUGAUAUAUUAUGAAGUCAAUUCAAUUCCGCUAUCUUUAUGAAACAAUAUUAAAUGCAUCAUAACCUAUAUUAAGAAAAUGUGACAUCCCCACAGUAGAAAAUUGUACAUUGCGGAAUUUGAAGUGUUUGUUAGUAGUUUCUGUUUUUUAGAAUUGUUUAUUAGCGAUUCGAAUCAUAUAGUUAACACUUUUACUAGUUUUACAUAGGCAGGGACGUGUAAACAUAAGCCUUAGCAAAUCAACUUUACUUUCAAACUUAAUAAGAUUAAUUCAGUGAACCUAGACGCAUAUAGUAUAAUCGGUGAGGAAUCAGGAGAAGAUCGUGUAUAAAACAGUAGUCCCCAUUAACUCUAAUAAUUAGAUCUCAAAAGGUGGAAUAGACUAUUUUAAUUGAGAAACACCAUUAACCCUCCCAGUAUUGAGCUUCUCUCUCUUGACUUUUCCAAGUGACAUCAUAGUAUCAUACCCUAUAAAGUCUCAUCCACUAAACCAAGGCCAUCAUUAUCGGGGAUCUUAAGUUGAUUUUUAAAGUAUUUAAGACUUAAAAAAAAUAACAAUUAACUUAAGCAAUGUAUCUUAAUUAAGGGACACAAGAUACGCCUCUUAGAAACACGCUUCGCGUUGAGAGAAAAAAAAAACAGUUUCAAGUCACAAAGAAAACCGUUUGUUGCUCUCCUCGACGACGAAGCAAAUCGUCGGUGGCUCUCUUCGACGAAGCAAAUCAUCGACUUGCCCGGAGUUCCAGACGACGCCGUCCGGUUUGAGAUGUGACUGCUGCGAGAUCACCGGCGUGGAUGCCAAGAUGAAAGGUUCUCAUUACCCCUCUUCCCACCACCACCACCUACGAAGAAGAAAAGAAGAUGUAGUAAGGGUUUGGUGAUUCGUGCGUCUUUGUUUGGCGUUGGAGCACCUGAGGCUUUGGUUAUAGAUUUGAAUGAAUUGAUGUUUUGGUAAUUCCAGAAAGUAGCAGCGUUAAUGUUAUAGCGUUAAUGUUAAAGUAGCAGCGUCAUGUUGUGAUUUAUGAAUAAUGGUCCUACAUUUUCAGGUUCACCAUGGCUUCUAUAGUGCUUACUGUAGAUCCUAAAAUCUACACUAAGUAUUUGAUA